UCCCCCAGCAGGUUCGAUGCAGCUUUUUCCUUUCGUACACGGAGGUUUCUGAGUGGGAACUGACUGAAGAAGGAUGCGUACAUGGUUAAACUCCUAAAUCCUUCCAUCUUCCUCUCUGGGUCCAUCUUGGUCACUCGCUGUCUGCCCACACAGAAAGAAGCAGGGGAACCGAAUUCCCUCCAGCAGCUUCGCCCCAAGGCUUAUAUCCAUCUACCAUUAUCCACAGCCCAGACCUACCUGCCCAAGGAUGGUAAUGUCCACAAUGACUGUGCCUUCCCACAUCAAUUGGCAACCAAGGAAAUGUCCCAUAGAUAUGUCCACAGGCCAAUCUGAUGGAGGCAGCCUGUCGAUUGAUGGUUCCUCUUCUCAGUUCUUAGAGAGGAGCCCAAGACUGGAAUUUCUGGAGUGUCUGGGCAUCCUCUAUAACAACCUGGGGAACCACUGAAGGGUUUUCCACAGCAGCUACCACCUAGUAGGUAAGUACAAAAAUUAAAAUUCACUCUUUCAGUCUUUACCUCAUUCAAAUCAACAGGCUCUAAGGCAGCCUUGAUUGAUGCGGUUUUUGUUCCUGGUAGUUGUAUUCAGUAAAUGCUGCUAUGAGAGAAGAUAAGGGAGGAAAGCAGGAGCGAAAGAGGUGUUUUUAAUAUAACUCCAUCCCGAUCAUUAGCCACAGGCACCCUGCAUGCUGCACUUCAUUCAUUCAUUCAUUCUGACCCAUGAGUUUGCUUUUAUUUCUCCAAGUUCCUGGCUCAGUCAGGAGCCCUGGCUAUGUGUUAUCUGUGUGGGGAUGGUGCUGCCAUUGAGUCCUGGGAUUACAGGCGUGCAUCACUAGACCAGACUGGGCACACAUACCCUCAUGGGCUGUGUACUCAGUAAAUGUUGGCUGUCAGUCAACUGAUGGUGAAUAAUAAAACCAGAACAGACGUCUGAUGUGUCUGCUAAUACCCAUUCCUGUUUUUAGACACCAAGUUCAAUGGUCAGUAAUUACAGUUGUGUAGUUGAAAUUUUCUUUGGGCUGCCAACCAGCUCCCAAAUUAAGACACAGAGACUUAUUAUUAGUUAUGAAUUCUUGGCAUUAGCUUUAGUCUUGUCCAACUAGCUCCUAUAACUUAAUUUAAUCUGUUUCUGUUCAUCUAUAUUUUGCCUUUUUUUUAACCUUUCUUUCAUUCUGUAGGUCCUACUUUCCUCCAUGUCUGCCUGUUUGACCCUGGAGCCUUCCAGUUGUCUCCUUUUCUUUCUCCCCUGAGCCUAUAUUCCUCCUCCUGCUUACUCUCUCCACUUGGAAGUCCUGCCUCUACCUCCUCCCUCACUAUUGGCUGUUCAGCUCUUUAUUAGAUCAGUCAGGUUCCUUAGGCAGGCAAGGUAAAACAGCAACACACCUUUACAUAAACAAACGCAACAUUUCCUUACAUAGUUAAACAAAUAUUCCAAACAUAAACAAAUGCAGCACAUCUUUGCCUGUUAGACUGAUAUUCCACACAACAGUUGCAUUGGAAAGUCAUGUGUCACAGAAGCAGAGUUCUGUUUUCAAAGAUUUUGUUUAUCCUUUGCCAUGGCUAGGGCAACUCCUAUGAAGGAAAGCAUUUAAUUACAGUUCAGAGCUUCAGUCCCAUGUCAUGGUGGGGAACAUGGCAAGGGAGCAUGGUGGCAUGCAGGCAGACAUGGUGUUAGAGAAGUAGCCGAGAGUCCUGCACCUUGCAGGCAACAGGAAAUAGUGUCAGAGUCACUCUAAGUGAAGCUUGAGCAAAGGAGACCCCAAGGCCCACCCUCACAGUGAUAUACUUCCUCUAACAACGCCACACCCACUCCAACAAGGCCACACCUCUUAAUGGUACUACUCCCUUUGGGGGCCAUUUUCCUUCACACCACCAUACAGAUCCUUGUCAGCUGUCAUGUGGAUGCUGGGAACUGAACUUGGGUCCUCUGCAAGAGCAGCAAGCACUCUUUAUCAGUGGUCUAUCUCUCCAGCCCCAGAAGCAAAAGUUUUGGAGGUAAAUAAAAAUCAAUGGUCACAGGAGAAAUCACCGGCUACAAUUAGCAUGCCCAGAGUUAAAUGGAGCAGGCUUCGUAAAGAGUUAGAUUGCAUUAAACGUGGGAAAACGUUUGUGACGGCUAGGCGAAGUCUGUGGUGUGGGAAAUGGCAUUUCAAAGCUGUGUGGGAAUGAGGUUGGAAAUACAGGGCAUAUGCAAGCUGUCUGCCUCCUAUGAAUGCAGCAGACUGGGAAGGAAGCCACCCCGGGACGUUUGGGCAAUGAGGGCGCAGUCUGAGAAAGGACCUGGAAGAGGCUCCCAUUCUGUUGAAGGGUUUCUCUGCUCUGUUUCUGGGCACUGGCAAACAGAAGGUUUAAUGAACAAGAUUUUUUUCUUUCUCUGCACAGUAAGAGCAAGCAUAUUAUUUAUUAAUGGAAAAAAUAUGCCAAAACAUCCACAGUAGUUUUCUUUGUGUGGUUUCCAUGAAGGGUUCUUUAAAGGCAUCUCUUAAAUAUUAGAUAACGAGGACAUCUUAUUUUUCUCUGUAAGGUGAAGCGUUUAAAGUUCACGUCGUAUUGAUUAGGAUGUUUUGGUCUGAGCAGGAAGAGCCUUUAACUAAACCAGUCAGAAAGAAAAUCCACUGGGGGGAAAACAGGCUAGCUUGUGGGAACAGUGGGAGGCUGGAGAGCCAGGAAGGUAAGCAGACCACAGCCUCAGGCUGGUCCAGACCUCAGGUGGAAGGCCCAGGUAGUGCUUGGUCUUCCCCUCACUCUGCUAAGUAUCAGGAAGGGAGCUUCUGGUGACUGGUGCACUAUUCUUCCUAUGGGGAGGGCGGGGCUGCUUCCCAGAUGCUCGUAAGUCCAGUUGUUUCCAAAGCCAGAAGAAAUUGAGGGACUAUUACUUAAAGGAAAUAGAAUCACACACACACACACACACACACACACACACACACUCUCUCUCUCUCUCUCACACACACGUAUAUGUAUGUAUAGCACCUCUUUGUACUAUUUUGAAUUUAUUAUCCCAUUAUAAAAUUUUUUCAUUGUAUUUUCAUGUGUGCCCAUGUAGGCAUGUGUAUGUCACGGCUCAUGAGUGGGAGUGGGCACUUUCCUUCCAUCGUGUGCUUCCUAGGGAUCAAACUUAGGUGGUCAGGCUUUUCAAGUACCCCGGCUGGUGAACCAUCUCACCAGCACAAGUUAUAAUAAUUUUAAAGUGUGACAACUAUGUCCUAUAUGGGAUUGUUCAGUCCUGUUGUCCUCUUUUUGUCUUUUUCUCGGGGCUCUGAAAACUCAUCAUUUUUUCUUGUUUCUAGGUCUUUUUUUUAUUGAGUUCCCCCUCCUUCCU